AAAGAAAAGAAGGACUGCAGACGACUUAUAUCUUGCAGAAGACUUUUCACACUCUAGGACCUAAAUGGAGAGAAUCAUAAACUUCAUUUUCGACCAUCCAUUUGUCACGGGGGCUGCUGUGGUAGGCGCUGUCACUGGCCUGUGGUAUGUCAUCUGGGGGAGACGCCCCCCUCCCCCACCAGUUGAACCACCUGUCCAAGAGGACAAUAUUGACCGACAGGCAGAUCUUCGAUUUAGAAUUCCCCCCCUCAGAAGAGUUAGAAUAGUUAAAUAAAUGGAAAUCGUGUUUGAGCAAACAUCGUAUUUGUGUGAAAAUAUUUGGAUUAGGC